AAUUUGGAGGAGCCGGCAACGGUGGCAGUGCUUCAUUUUCAUGCCGACAAUGGAAGUAUGGAGCAUGCAAGAAAUAUCGGAUCGGCAUACUCCAUCAACCUGUAGAUGAGAAGAGAAGUACUUAGGGGACGAUGUCGAUCUUACACAUUCAGCUUUGUGUAUGUAUAGUCUCAGUCUCAUCAUAUUUAAUUUAUUUAUAGCAGUUGCAUAAAGAAAUAUAGCCCCUUGGAAUCUAAAUUAGCAAUUGUAAA